GCGUUGUCCGGAGUCACUGGGCGUAAAGCGCGCGCAGGCGGCCAUCUGCGCCCGGCGUGAAAGCCCCCGGCUCAACCGGGGAGGGUCGUCGGGGACGGGAUGGCUUGAGAGCGGCAGGGGCCGGUGGAAUCCCUGGUGUAGUGGUGAAAUGCGUAGAGAUCAGGGGGAACACCCGUGGCGAAGGCGGCCGGCUGGGCCGACUCUGACGCUGAGGCGCGAAGGCGUG
rnacentral:rRNA from 1 species